CAGCAGCCACGGGAAUACGGAGGGUGCAAGCGUUAAUCGGAAUUACUGGGCGUAAAGCGCACGCAGGCGGUCUGACAAGUCAGAUGUGAAAUCCCCGGGCUUAACCUGGGAACUGCAUUUGAAACUGUCAGGCUGGAGUCUUGUAGAGGGGGGUGGAAUUCCAGGUGUAGCGGUGAAAUGCGUAGAGAUCUGGAGGAAUACCGGUGGCGAAGGCGGCCCCCUGGACAAAGACUGACGCUCAGGUGCGAAAGCGUGGGGAGCAAACAGGAUUAGAUACCCCGGUAGUCCCUGUCUCUUAUAA
rnacentral:rRNA from 1 species